GUCUGAGCUUCUCAGGAAUGCUGGCAGCAGCCAUCUCAGGGGCUGUUUGGUCUUUCAGCUGCUCCUGCCCAAUGCUCUUCUUACUUCAGAGCUAUGUCAGCACAUUGUGAUGCAGGAGCAGUGAAAUAAUGCCAGGCUGCCCUUCACCAGGGACUUAGUUGCCUGUCCAGCACACAGAAACACCUCUGCUAAAGAAAUGUGAAAGAAGCAGAAACGUGCUAUUUGGAAACAAUUCUCCUGUUUGACAUCCAGGAGGUUUCCAAAGAUCUAUUUCAGCAGAUUCUAUAAGUUGAAGGUAAGCCCCUGUUGCUGAAUAUACAAAGCACGUUGGAUACAGGACUCAGAAGACUCCAACUGGACCUAACCCAAACCCUGCCCUGAAGACUAGCUUUCCUAGUGGCAGAAGGUGCUAUAUAUGCAAGCUUUCAAGGGAGGAUAACAAUCAAUAGUAUUACCAUCAGUGAUGUCUAUGAACCACAAUGACUAGCAUGCUACAUCAUGAAAAGGAGGAAGCCCAAACUGAAGUGAGUCACAAACUUCAUUGGCCUUGAGGUGAGCAUGAUGAAGAAGAACAGGAACAAGAAGGCAAUGAAUAAGCAAGAAGCCCUCUUUAUCCCACACUAUUACAGACUCGGGCAUCUUAAGAACAUAUUGGAUGGAGGAGAGUAUGCCCCUUAUGUAUCUCCUCCUAUACUGGAGAGCAAUUUUAUUCAGGUCAAUAGGAGAGGUGAAUCUAUUUACCUGCAUAACCGAGCAAACUGGGUGACCGUAGGCAUCUGUUCUUCCAAUCCCAUCUUCAAGACCCCCAAUAUGAUGCUGUUGGCACAUCUGACACCAGAAGCUCGAAAAGAACCAGAACCCCUCUUUAAAACCCUUCUGAAGUCUUCCUCUUCAGGGACUCUGGUGCUCACCAGGUUUAUCCCUCUGCAGUUUGUGACUCUCUCUGUGCACAGUGCUAAGAACAUGCGUCUCAAGGUGAAGCUGAUCAACGGCCGCUCCUACUACUUACAGCUCUGUGCUCCUGUGUAUAAACAGGAUAUCAUAUUUUCUCAGUGGGUAGACCUCAUCCCCCUCCUGAAUCAGGAGAAAAUCAAAAAUACCAAAGUCUCCGAGGUCUCGAGCCUUUCAGAACUCACAAACAGCACGGACAUCGCAGGCUCGAUGGACAUCACGGACAUCACUGCUUUCAGAGAACUGCGGCCCAGGCACCCGAAAACACACAGAUACCCUUGUAACAUCAUGGAAAGUGCAGACUUCUCAGAAUAUACAGAUGUCACUGAUGUCACAGAUGUCACUGAUGUCACCGAUAUGCUGGACAACGGGAUCACAGAUGUUCAAGAUAUAAAAAUUGUCACAGAAGUCACAGAAGUCACAGAAGUCACAGAAGUCACAGAAGUCUCAGAAGUCUCAGACGUCAAAAUGGCCACAAACAUCUCAGGGGUCAAAAUAGUAUUUGAAAACGAUGAUAUAAUAAAGACCAAGCAGGAGGAAAAGGAAUAUACCCUGAAACAUAGGAGUCUACAAGAUACAAAAACUAAGAGUGACUACCAAGAUUCCCCAAAUCCUGUCACCAUGUCAAACAUAGCCCUGGCUUUGCAAGAUGAAGGGUGUUUUCAGACUACUCAGACUCCUGUAAAAAGCAAGGAAGACAUAUACAAAGAAAUAUGUGAUGAAACUUCUGAAGAAAAUAUGAUUCGUCUUCAAAACAUACAUUUAAAGGCCACGGAAUCCAGGCACAUGGAUACACAUCUUUCAUCCCUGCGCGCAGGAAAUAAAGGCAGGCACAUCUUUGUGACUUUGUAGCAGCCUGGUCUAAACAGGCUAGCCAGGGCUACAUAGUGACACCUUGUGGAAUGCUCUCUUCCGGAUUGUGAAGAUCAAUCUGAAUCUAUUUGAUAAAUGUUAGACUUUGUGCUGAUGAUUUGUGGGGAAAGAGCACUGACGAUUGAAGCAAGAGACCCACACAUGUUAACAGCACACUUUACCACUGUGGGACGCUUCCCAUCUUGAAGACUUUAGAUGGUGAACUGAAGCUUGGAAGAUAUUUGCACAAGCAGUGCUCCUCUAGAGAACAAUCCUUUAUCCACUCUCUUGGCUCACUGCCCAGGGGAUUUGUCUUCCUUCACCUGCUGCUCUAAAGAUGGAAAGAAUUUCUUUCCUACCUCCACAUCAAGAAAAAGACUCCCAUGGCAUCAGCAAGAGACUACUUACUACUGGUGAUGUGUUAAAAUCUGAAGUACAAAUAAACAUUUUGCAAUUUGGAAA